rnacentral:rRNA from 1 species
CCUACGGUGGACAGCAGUGGGGAAUAUUGCACAAUGGGGGAAACCCUGAUGCAGCGACGCCGCGUGAGUGAGGAAGUAUUUCGGUAUGUAAAGCUCUAUCAGCAGGGAAGAAAAUGACGGUACCUGACUAAGCAGCCCCGGCUAACUACGUGCCAGCAUCCGCGAUAAUACGUAGGGGGCAAGAGUUAUCCGGAUUUACUGGGUGUAAAGGGAGCGUAGACGGCUAAUCAAGUCAGAAGUGAAAACCCAGGGCUCAACCUUGGGACUGAUUUUGAAACUGCGGAGCUAGAGUGCAUGAGAGGUAAGCGGAAUUCCUAGUGUAGCGGUGAAAUGCGUAGAUAGUAGGAGGAACACCAGUGGCGAAGGCGGCUUACUGGACUGUAACUGACGUUGAGGCUCGAAAGCGUGGGGAGCAAACAGGAUUAGAUACCCCAGUAGUC